rnacentral:pre_miRNA from 1 species
UCAGUUAGGGCUUGAUCCAAAGCCUGUUGUGGUCAGUGGAAUUCUUUCCACUGCCUUUAAUGGGCUUUGGAUCAGGCCCUCCAUUGG